rnacentral:rRNA from 1 species
CACGUAGGGUGCAAGCGUUAAUCGGAAUUACUGGGCGUAAAGCGUGCGCAGGCGGCUUUGCAAGACAGAUGUGAAAUCCCCGGGCUCAACCUGGGAACUGCAUUUGUGACUGCAUGGCUGGAGUGCGGCAGAGGGGGAUGGAAUUCCGCGUGUAGCAGUGAAAUGCGUAGAUAUGCGGAGGAACACCGAUGGCGAAGGCAAUCCCCUGGGCCUGCACUGACGCUCAUGCACGAAAGCGUGGGGAGCAAUCAGG